rnacentral:rRNA from 1 species
GACGAACGCUGGCGGCGUGCUUAACACAUGCCAGUCGAACGGAAAGGCCCUGCUUGCAGGGUACUCGAGUGGCGAACGGGUGAGUAACACGUGGGUGAUCUGCCCUGCACUUCGGGAUAAGCUUGGGAAACUGGGUCUAAUACCGGAUAGGAACCAUCUUUAGUGUGGUGGUUGGAAAGUUUUUUCGGUGUAGGAUGAGCUCGCGGCCUAUCAGCUUGUUGGUGGGGUAAUGGCCUACCAAGGCGGCGACGGGUAGCCGGCCUGAGAGGGUGUACGGCCACAUUGGGACUGAGAUACGGCCCAGACUCCUACGGGAGGCAGCAGUGGGGAAUAUUGCACAAUGGGCGCAAGCCUGAUGCAGCGACGCCGCGUGGGGGAUGAAGGCCUUCGGGUUGUAAACUCCUUUCGCUAGGGACGAAGCUUUGUUGUGACGGUACCUAGAUAAGAAGCACCGGCUAACUACGU